GCACUUUCUUCUCAGCAUUGUGUGUGUACGUUCGCUCAGCUGUUCUGGUCAGAAGCGAUCGCGGCUCAUCCGAUUGCACAAAUUUUCGAAGCUUUGGAGUUUAUUUUUAGUAGCAGUGCCAUGUCGUUUUGGUAUAAUCCUCGUGGAUUUUUGCUGCGUAAGAGCACGUUGCUCGUUCUCUGAUCUAUUCGAUAUGAAAAAACGUUUUCUUCAUUGAUUGACAGACUUCGUUCACGAGUUACCACAGUUAUCAGAAAUUUUACAUUAAUUCGGGAUCGAUGUGCUCUGUAAAUUGACGUUAAAUUUUGACCGUAAUAGUGAAGGAUUAACCAUGAAGAAAACACGUUCAAAUAUAUUUCGUGACAUUUAUUAUCAGCCCUACAAUGAUUACACCAGGAUGAAGCUUUAUUCUAGCAGCAAAGCAAGUCUUCAAAUGAUGCAACGUAUGGCAUUGUUAAAGAGAUUAAAAGUUCACAAUGGUUGUGUAAACUCUGUUUGUUGGAAUGCUACUGGAGAAUUGAUAUUGUCUGGUAGUGACGACCAGCAUCUUGUCCUUACAAAUGCUUAUAAUUAUGAAGUAUUAACAGACUAUAAAACCAGCCAUAGAGCAAAUAUAUUCAGUGCAAAGUUUUUGCCUAAUUGUGGUGAUCAUCGGAUAGUUUCUUGUAGUGGUGAUGGCAUUAUUUUGUAUACAGAUUUAAUAAGAAGAACAAAAACAUUUCAUAAUCAAUUUAAUUGUCAUGUCGGUACUACAUACGAAAUAGCGACAAUACCUGGUGAGCCGCAUAAUUUUUUAAGCUGUGGGGAAGAUGGAACUGUGAGAUGGUUUGAUCUUAGAAUAAAGGACAAAUGUAAUACUUCGAGGUGCACUGAGGAUGUGUUAGUUUCUUGUGAAAGAGCUAUAACUGCUCUAUCCGUAAAUCUUGCUUCACCCCAUCAAAUAGCGAUAGGUUGUUCUGAUAGUACAGUUAGAAUACUUGACAGAAGAACACUUGGAACACCAGCUACUGGCUGGACAGAUACGCCUGGAGCAGUAAAGGCCUUAUGUACUUUCACUGUCCCGGAAUUUGAAGGGAAUUCUUACAGAAUAACAUCGUUGAAUUAUAGUCCAGAUGGGCAGGAUGUUCUUGUUAGUUAUAGCAGUGAUCAUCUUUACCUGUUCAAUGUGAAGGACCAAGCUAGUAUACAGUUAAAGAAAGAUGUCGCAGUUAGAAAAGGAGAGGGAAAAAAGCAAAGAUUACGUUCGCCAUUGCCAGUACGUAGACUAAGACUUAGAGGAGACUGGUCUGAUACCGGUCCCGAUGCUCGACCUGAAUGCGAGGGCGGUCGACGUAGCGGUACAGAAAUUGCUCAAGCCAGACCCGUUCUUCAAACUUCGUUAAUGCAGAGAAUGACUGAUGUUCUCAGUAGAAUGUUAAAUGACCCAGCCACUAGAGCCGCUUUAUGCGGCGGCGGCGAAGAUAGUUUAGAAGGCGUGAUCGAUCAUCAAGAUAACGCUCAAAAUAGCAACGAAAGCGUUACGGAAUCAAACGAAGAGAGACAAGACAACGAAACCGAAAGGGUUGAAAGAGUUCCGACUCAGGUUAAUCAAGAAAUAGCUGUUUCAGAGCAACAACCAGAUAGAUUAGAAAGUCCAAGUACUAGCGGUACGCAAAGUAAACCUGGGACAAGUUACUCUGUAGAAACGAAAGAAGAAAUGCCAUCCAAUGAAACAAUGCCUUUGAAGCAAACGAUCGAUGAGAGUUCAUCGUCGGUCGAAUCCAAAUCACAUGUUCCUAUGGAAAUUGAAUCUAGUCAAGUAGAAACACAACAGUGUUUUGCUCAACCGUGUUCAUCGCGUACUAUGGAUAAGUCCAAUGAUCUACCGGAAGAUGAUCAAAGUAGCAAUGACGACUCUCCUUGUAGCAGUAUGGAAAAUAGACAAGAAGGACAUAUGAUGGAAAACCUUCAAGAUAGAUUAACGAAAAUGAGAGUCGGAUUCCUUGAAAAACACGGCAGUGAACCUGCUGUAAGUUUAACUUAUACGGAUAAAAGUUCAUCAAGUGCAACGAUAUCUCUUGGUGUAGCAGAUGAGAUGACCCGUGAUGGUUAUCAUGCGGGACCAUCUGGAAGUAGUGGAACAUUCUCCGGCAGAAAUCAUGACAAACAUAUACGAUAUAGUGAUAUACAAGAGAAGACUGAUGAAAGCGCUUUUAGUGAUAGCGAGGAUGAAGAUAUACAAGCUGAAGGAAGAUUAGGAAGUUCAGCAGAAACAGAAAUGGAGGAAGCUAUGGGAGAUGCUCCAACGCGCCGAGGAUCAGCGAAUUUCGACAAAACGUGCGUAACGGAGCUUCGUGUCAAGCAGAAAUAUAUGGGACACCGUAACGCUAGUUUCUUUAGGACCAUGAUUAAAGAAGCAAACUUUUGGGGCAACGAUUUCGUCAUGUCGGGUAGCGAUUGUGGUCAUGUGUUCAUAUGGGAGAAAGACACGGCCAGAUUAUGCAUGUUGCUGGAAGCAGAUCAACAUGUCGUCAACUGUUUGCAACCACAUCCGUAUUUACCACUAUUAGCCACAGCUGGUAUUGAUUACGAUGUUAAGCUUUGGGCACCGAUAAACGAAGAAUCCAGCUUUGAUGAAAAGUUUGCGGAAGAUUUGAAAAAGAGGAAUGCAGUCAUGUUGGAAGAGACGAAAGACACAAUGACUGUACCGGCUGUUUUUAUGAUCAGAAUGCUGGCAUGUCUCAAUCAGAUACGCAGAGGUAGUGAAAACUUAUAAUACUUUCCAAGCCUUGCGGUAGUACACUUCAUUAGUAUGACCAACGUAAUUAAGAGUAACAUAGUGAAGAAAUUCGGCUGCUUUUUUCCCCGUUUAACACGCAGGACGCGGUCGGAACAGGAGGAGGAGCGGCGACGAGGCCGGCGAAUUACGAGGUGGUUAAGCUGUUUUUGGCGAUACUGUCGUCUGUGAAGAUCCGAGAUCUCAACUGGGAUAAUCUUUAUCGCAACGCCAGCUGAUCAGAUUUCGAAUUUGUCUUCGAUACAAAAAGAAUAAAAAAAAAAAAAAAAAGGAAAACUACAAAAAAAAUAGUAAAAUAAGAAUCAGGAAGGAAGAAAGGAGAAUUCGUAUAUUUAUGAUUUACCGUUGCAAUACUAUUUCACUCUUAAUUAUAAGGAUAUUUAAUCUGAUAAGCUUUGCGUACGUAUCAUUAUUGCAUCGAGAAAGAUAAGUCGAAUUUUUUUUCUUUACCACUUUUAUUUUCUGUCGCUUCUUUUCUUCUGACUCUGUUUAUACCGCGUGUUUGAUGUAUCAAGCUUGUGCAAUGUAAUUGUUUUUCUCAUCUUUCGAAUUUAUAGAGUUAUUUCGUUUGGAGAGGAAAAUACGAUAAGGUCAAAUAUUUUCGAUAUUUUAUACAGAAUUUUGAUGUCAGGUUCGGAUCUAUAAUUGGAACUACAAUAUAAUACAUGUUAUUUAGGAUGCAAGUAAAGUGCACUUGUUGAUUAACUAUUUAUCACACAUGUUUCUCGAUAAUGUUACGCUGUUGUAGUUAAUUGAUAAUUGAUCGGAAAUGCACUUUAUUCGUCCUUCCGUUAAACGAGCCUUAGAGUGCACAAUAAGAUAAUAAAUGUAAUAUAAAUACUAGGGUUCCAUUUAAGAACCUGAACCUUGACAUUUUAUCUUCCUCGCCAAAUUAAACAACUUUAUAUCUCCGAACUUUUUAGAAACGGUUACGUAUUAUACGGUUAAAUUUAACGUUUCCGUGUAUUCUCUUCGUUAAUGUCCAAUUUAUAUGCAGUUCAAAGAUAAAAAAUUCCACCGUGCCUGUUUCACGGUCACAUGUUUUCAUUUUCUUUCUUUUUUUUUUUUUUUUGUUUCUUUUUCCGUGUGAUGAAAUAACGAAGUUAAUGAAGAUCGGUCGAUUUUUUGAGGUAACUUAUUGACACAUAGAGGAACAUAGGCAAUCGCUAAGUUUGUAGAUUCGUUCGCUCAGUUUGAUAAAGUAGGAAUGCUUGCGACGUAGAGACACUUGCAGAGAGAUCGGAGAACGUGAGCAUCGUUUUACUAAAGAAUGAUGUUCAGGCACUCGAAGGUUUCACCAAGGGAGAGAAACGUCGUUGUAGGAUACCGUGGUGUAUCGAUAUAUAUCCAGAGAAUUUAUUUAUAAUAAAAAUUCUGAAGAACGCAAA